rnacentral:rRNA from 1 species
GACGAACGCUGGCGGCGUGCUUAACACAUGCAAGUCGAACGGGUCUGCCCUGUUUUUUGCGGGGUGGGUCAGUGGCGAACGGGUGAGUAACACGUGAGUAACCUGCCCCUCACUUCUGGAUAACCGCUUGAGAGGGUGGCUAAUACGGGGUGUUCUGGCUGUGCCGCAUGGUGUGGCUGGGAAAGAUUCACUUUUGUGGUGUUUUGGUGGGGGAUGGGCUCGCGGCCUAUCAGCUUGUUGGUGGGGUGAUGGCCUGCCAAGGCUUUGACGGGUAGCCGGCCUGAGAGGGUGGGCGGUCACACUGGGACUGAGAUACGGCCCAGACUCCUGCGGGAGGCAGCAGUGGGGGGUAGUGCACAAUGGGCGGAAGGCUGAUGCAGCGACGUCGCGUGAGGGAUGGAGGCCGUCGGGUUGUGAACCUCUUUCGCCGGUGAAGAAGGUCCUGCUCUUUGUGGUGGGGUUGACGGUAGCCGGGUUAUGAAGCGCCGGCUAACUACGUG